GGGUUGUGAGGUUAAGCGACUAAGCGUACACGGUGGAUGCCCUGGCAGUCAGAGGCGAUGAAGGGCGUGCUAAUCUGCGAUAAGCGCCGGUAAGGUGAUAUGAACCGUUAUAACCGGCGAUACCCGAAUGGGGAAACCCAGUGUGAUUCGUCACACUAUCAUUAACUGAAUCCAUAGGUUAAUGAGGCGAACCGGGGGAACUGAAACAUCUAAGUACCCCGAGGAAAAGAAAUCAACCGAGAUUCCCCCAGUAGCGGCGAGCGAACGGGGAGGAGCCCAGAGCCUGAAUCAGCAUGUGUGUUAGUGGAAGCGUCUGGAAAGGCGCGCGAUACAGGGUGACAGCCCCGUACACAAAAGCGCAUGUGCUGUGAGCUCGAUGAGUAGGGCGGGACACGUGGUAUCCUGUCUGAAUAUGGGGGGACCAUCCUCCAAGGCUAAAUACUCCUGACUGACCGAUAGUGAAGCAGUACCGUGAGGGAAAGGCGAAAAGAACCCCGGCGAGGGGAGUGAAAAAGAACCUGAAACCGUGUACGUACAAGCAGUGGGAGCCCCACCACUAAGCCAGUGGUGAACUCCACAUCCGCAUCCUUUGCUGAGGAUACGGUUAACGGAGCGAAAGCGACGUUCAACCGCAAAACAAGCAGAGGGGGCUUAGUGGUGGGGUGACUGCGUACCUUUUGUAUAAUGGGUCAGCGACUUAUAUUCUGUAGCAAGGUUAACCG
rnacentral:rRNA from 1 species